UACGGAGGAUGCAAGCGUUGUCCGGAAUGAUUGGGCGUAAAGCGUCCGCAGGCGGCAGUUCAAGUCUGCUGUUAAAUACUAGGGCUCAACCCUGGAGCGGCAGUGGAAACUGAGCAGCUAGAGUUCGGGAGGGGUAGAGGGAAUUCCCAGUGUAGCGGUGAAAUGCGUAGAGAUUGGGAAGAACACCAGUGGCGAAAGCGCUCUGCUAGGCCGGAACUGACGCUCAGGGACGAAAGCUAGGGGAGCGAAUGGG
rnacentral:rRNA from 1 species